rnacentral:lncRNA from 1 species
AAUUUAUUGAAUGCCAGCACUGCAAGACAAGCCUGAUUAGAUAAUCUGGGGAACAGUCUGCGAGCACCUCCAGUGCAGAAGACAGGUGCCCCGGACAAGAUUCAAGUAGUCUGGAUUCAAAACAAAACACAAAAAAUCCGGCAGCUGCCGCUUUGAAGUGGGAAGCAGCCAAACAGGUGGCCACGGGGCUGCCACCACUUCCGGCUCCUGAGGUGGCAGCAGUUACAAACCACAGCGGAGCGAGGCAGAGUGAGACAAAGGACGCAGGACUCUAUGGGGGUUACCAGCAGAGCUGGUUUGCUGAUUGUCACAGGGUAAAGGGGAAGUCUGUUUUCAGCUUGGGGAGCUGGUCAGUUUCCUGCACUGAUUCUCCUCUGCAAUGGCUCCAGGAGGCUCAGUUCCCGGACCCUGUGUGUGCACGAGGGCAGGUGUGGGUGCGCAUGUGGGGAUGAACAGCCAGGAGUCCUAACGGCCACUACGAAUUUCAAGACGCAUUUUGCCUAGCUGGAAGGGGAUAAUCAUUAAAGUUUCAUAAGAAACUGAACUUUCUCAGGGUAGUCUGCGAAGAGAAGAGGAAGUCUGUACCACAAACUGCUGCUUAAAAGGCAGUUUCUUAUUUCUUUUUAAAAGCACUUCAUAUGAGCAAAGACUUUCCUAUUAGUUAAAGUGGAUAGAUGGCAUAAAUACCAUGGUUUAGGGGCAGCAGCAACACCCUGUUCCCUUCUUCCUUGCUUUCUUCCUUCUUUGAUUGCCCACAUAUCCACUAAACUGCUUAAUGAGAUGGGUAUGUUGAGAGCUUGACGAGAGAGAAAGCAGAGCCAUUGAGUUUUGUUUUGUUUCUAUUUUCUCUGCCAAGGAGAAUGACCUUUGGACUGGAAAGAACAGAAUAAAAUUGCCUAAAAGGGAGAUGAAAUCCA